GUUUAACUCUAGAGUUGCAAGUUUUUAGUUUUUUGAGUUUUUUUCGUGAACAUUAACUGUGGCGGUUGCCUUACGUCGCCCACUACAGGUGGUUUUUAGAAUGACCUUAGUUAAGUCAUGAUUAAUCGUGACCUUAUGGUCGUGGCGGUUGUAAAAAUCAUCAUAGUAAAUGUAAUACCCGCCAUGGUUAAGUUUUUUUAGUAGUGACACUAGCGCAUAGUAUUAUUGUUUUUCAAUGACCUUUCACGUUGGCGGUGGGUUCAAACGCGAGUACAAAUGGCCCGUUCGGGCUUCAUCACAGAAAGAAAACCGGGGCGGAUGCCGGCUCUCUGGCUCCUGUAGCCGUUUUACUGUUCCUCUUCCCAACCCUUCCGAUCUCCAUCUAAAUCCAUCCAAAUCUCUUGCAUAUCUAUAUUUCCUCUCCAGAUUUUUUUGUUUCUUCGUUUCUGUUCUGCGUUUACUGCUGCUAAUCUCUCAACCGUCGUGCUCCCCUUUGGCUUUAUUUACUCGGCUUUUGAGCUACUUCUGUAGCUCUUCCUUCCCAUUCUGAUCUCGUUGUUCUUGUCUAUUUCUAAUCUUUUUUGUUUCCAAAUGUGUGUUUACUUAUCUGAUCUAUUGUUCUAUCCAGUUGGUUUUGUCUGGUUCCGUCUCAUAGCCUAGUUUCGAUUGGUUUUGCUUACCGUGUAUAGGAGCAUCCCUUUCUUCUCUCUUCAUCAGAUCCCCUGAAUCCAUCAUCUCUUUCCUCUCCCACCA
rnacentral:lncRNA from 1 species